GGCGGCAUGCCUAACACAUGCAAGUCGAACGAGAAAGUUCCUUCGGGAGCAAUUAAAGUGGCGCACGGGUGAGUAACGCGUAGACAAUCUGCCCUUCAGUCUGGGACAACUUUUCGAAAGGAGAGCUAAUACCGGAUAACAAUGCAUGACACAAGUUGUAUAUUUGAAAGCUUUAUGUGCUGAAGGAGGGGUCUGCGUCCCAUUAGCUAGUUGGUAAGGUAAAGGCUUACCAAGGCAACGAUGGGUAGCGGGUUUGAGAGGACGAUCCGCCACACUGGAACUGAGACACGGUCCAGACUCCUACGGGAGGCAGCAGUGGGGAAUAUUGCACAAUGGAGGAAACUCUGAUGCAGCAAUGCCGCGUGAGUGAAGAAGGCCCUUGGGUCGUAAAGCUCUUUUAUGGGGGAAGAUGAUGACGGUACCCCAAGAAUAAGCACCGGCUAACUAUGUGCCAGCAGCCGCGGUAAUACAUAGGGUGCGAGCGUUGUUCGGAAUUACUGGGCGUAAAGGGCGCGCAGGCGGAAUAGUAAGUCGGAGGUGAAAGCCCGGGGCUCAACCCCGGAGGGUCUUUCGAAACUGCUAAUCUAGAGAGGGUCAGGGGCCGGCAGAAUUCCUGGUGUAGAGGUGAAAUUCGUAGAUAUCAGGAGGAAUACCGGUGGCGAAGGCGGCUGGCUGGGGCCACUCUGACGCUGAGGCGCGAAAGCGUGGGGAGCAAACAGGAUUAGAUACCCUGGUAGUCCACGCCGUAAACGAUGAGCACUGGACGUCCGGAGGGUUCGACCCUUCUGGGUGUCUCAGCUAACGCAUUAAGUGCUCCGCCUGGGGAGUACGGUCGCAAGACUAAACCUCAUAAGGAAAUUGCGC
rnacentral:rRNA from 1 species